GAGAGGAAGAGGAGAAGAAAGGAGAGUUUAGGAGUUCGGAAAAUAAUGAGAACUUGGAUCCUCUACGUAGCAAAAUCCACACCAGAACUAGCUAUAUACCAAUAUAGCUAGCUAGUUCUGGUGUGGAUUUUGCUACGUAGAGGAUCCAAGUUCACAUUAUUUUCCGAACUCCUAAACUCUCCUGUCUUCUCUCCUGCAAAUU
rnacentral:miRNA from 1 species